AAAAAAAAAUUCUUUAGUUUUUAUCAUAGGCUGUUUCGCGGUAAAUCUACAGAUAAAACGAUUUUUCGAUACGAAGUUUUGACGUUCAAAAACGCUUACGCUGACACCCUCUUAAACGCAACCAAAAAAUAAUAAUAUACCAAAAUCCUAUUAUUUUUUACUAUAACAAAAAAAACCUGUCUAAUAUUACGGUUAUUGCGGGACAUCAUCAUUAGAGCCGUUAAUAUUUAAAUUUAUGAAGUAUAAUAAUCAGUGAAUUUUGUCAUCGUUUUAUUAUUAUAGGUACACAAACGAAGCAAACAGUUGAUUUAGUAUAUUUAUCCCGAGGGAUUUUUUUUAUUGUUC